AUUGAACGCUGGCGGCAUGCCUUACACAUGCAAGUCGAACGGUAACGGGCCUUCGGGUGCCGACGAGUGGCGCACGGGUGAGUAAUACAUCGGAACGUGCCCGAUCGUGGGGGAUAACGAGGCGAAAGCUUUGCUAAUACCGCAUACGAUCUACGGAUGAAAGCAGGGGACCGCAAGGCCUUGCGCGGACGGAGCGGCCGAUGGCAGAUUAGGUAGUUGGUGGGAUAAAAGCUUGCCAAGCCGACGAUCUGUAGCUGGUCUGAGAGGAUGAUCAGCCACACUGGGACUGAGACACGGCCCAGACUCCUACGGGAGGCAGCAGUGGGGAAUUUUGGACAAUGGGCGCAAGCCUGAUCCAGCCAUGCCGCGUGCAGGAUGAAGGCCUUCGGGUUGUAAACUGCUUCUGUACGGAACGAAAAGCCUUCUUUUAAUACAGGAGGGUCAUGACGGUACCGUAAGAAUAAGCACCGGCUAACUACGUG
rnacentral:rRNA from 1 species